rnacentral:tRNA from 1 species
UUUAAUAUGGCAGAUUAGUGCAAUGGACUUAAGCCCCAUAUAUAAAGAAAAUCUAUCUUUUAUUAAAA